rnacentral:snoRNA from 1 species
AAAUCAUGAUGAGGGGCAGUAUCUCUCAUACUCCUUGAAUCGCUCUCAGGCUUCAUAGAAUGAUUCUAUUGGGCCCUGUUGGAAACUUUGUAUCUUAUAUCUCAGCU